UUAUUGUCCUUGUGGAGUGCUGUAUUUUGUAACAAUGGCUGAGAUAAAUGCAUCUCCUGCUACUGCUCCUUCCAUUCACACAAAGGUGGUGGCCUACGUGGAAAAUUGAAUAAGGUGGUGCUGGCUUACAGUGGUGGAUUAGACACAUCAGUCAUUGUUCCAUGGCUCAGGUGAACCAUCAAAUUCCAAGGAUCCAGAAAAAUAUGUCCAUAGAUAUCUCCAUUUUCUUGAGAGGAUACUGGUCCUAGCAGCAUCA